rnacentral:lncRNA from 1 species
AUGGCCAGGUCACUGGGCCAUGGGCGCUGGGUCCUCCUGGGCCAGGUACCCCAAGAGCUCUGGGCCCGGGCUGCAAGGAGCAAGGCCAAGCAAAGCCAGGGCCCUGGGGGCAUGGUAGAGACUCGGUGGUUGGCUCACUCCUGUUCACUGACCAGGCCACAGGGCCUGGCUGCCCUUUGCUGGUGCUCCAUGGCCCGGCCAGCUGGGGAGGUAUCAAGUACAAGACAGAUGAAGAUUGGGCCCUGGGGAGCCCACGUUCAGCCUCUCAGUGUCCUCCCAGGCCCUGGCACCCUAAAGACUUCACAUCCAGGAGGCUUGUGUUCUAUUCUCCACUCACCAUGGGUGACCAUAGGCAAGUCCCUUUCCUCUUUCUGGCCCUCAGUUUCCUCCUCUAUAAAAUGGGCAGGUUGGACCCUCCGGGAGGUUAUCUUCUGGCUCAGCAAGUAUAGACAGAUUUUUCUGGGAAGGUCCCACAAGGGUCCCCUGGUCUCAGACAACCACAAGGAACAUAAGAGGGGUGUGUCUGGAUCCCCAGCUUCUGCUGUCCCCACUUCCCGGUGGCUCCAGUGGCACCUCAGGCUUCUUCAGAGGCUUGUAACCUCCCAGGUUGGACUCAAACCAGUCCCUCCCAGGAGGGCAGGGCUUUCCCCACUGGGCCAAUGGAGGGGAAGAGGGACGGGCCACACCACGCUGCGGGGAGGAGGGCCACUCAUUCACAAAAUUCUUGGGACUUUACUGGCCUGCCUUUCUUCCCUGAGGGUCCUGGUGAAGUGGGGGGUGGAAGUGGGGCAGCAAAGUGGAUGGGAAUUUGUGAGAAUGAAAGAGGAAGAUGGAGAGAUCCAGGCACAGGCAGAGAGAGGGACACUGGUCAGAACAAUGGGAAUGGGGACUGAGAAAGGGACCAAACCAGGAAUGGGGAGAGAAAGGAGGGAGGGAGGGAGGAAAGAGAGAAGAGAGAGGGAUGGAAACAGACAAAGAAGGAGAGAGGGAGGGUGGGAAAGAGCAGAGACAGAAGAAACAGAGGGGGAAAAGGAAGGAGGGAAGAAGAGAGGAAGGGAGAGGGAGAGAGGGAGAAAAAGAGGGAAGGAGCGAUAG